UUGCUCCUGAUGGCGAGUGGCGAACGGGUGAGUWWUWUAUCGGAACGUGCCCUAGAGUGGGGGAUAACUAGUCGAAAGAUUAGCUAAUACCGCAUACGAUCUAAGGAUGAAAGUGGGGGAUCGCAAGACCUCAUGCUCGUGGAGCGGCCGAUAUCUGAUUAGCUAGUUGGUGGGGURAARKCUYAMCAAGGMRACGAUCAGUAGCUGGUCUGAGAGGACGACCAGCCACACUGGAACUGAGACACGGUCCAGACUCCUACGGGAGGCAGCAGUGGGGAAUUUUGGACAAUGGGGGCAACCCUGAUCCAGCAAUGCCGCGUGAGUGAAGAAGGCCUUCGGGUUGUAAAGCUCUUUUGUCAGGGAAGAAACGGUGAGAGCUAAUAUCUCUUGCUAAUGACGGUACCUGAAGAAUAAGCACCGGCUAACUACGUGCCAGCAGCCGCGGUAAUACGUAGGGUGCAAGCGUUAAUCGGAAUUACUGGGCGUAAAGCGUGCGCAGGCGGUUGUGUAAGACAGAUGUGAAAUCCCCGGGCUCAACCUGGGAAUUGCAUUUGUGACUGCACGGCUAGAGUGUGUCAGAGGGGGGUAGAAUUCCACGUGUAGCAGUGAAAUGCGUAGAUAUGUGGAGGAAUACCGAUGGCGAAGGCAGCCCCCUGGGAUAACACUGACGCUCAUGCACGAAAGCGUGGGGAGCAAACAGGAUUAGAUACCCUGGUAGUCCACGCCCUAAACGAUGUCUACUAGUUGUCGGGUCUUAAUUGACUUGGUAACGCAGCUAACGCGUGAAGUAGACCGCCUGGGGAGUACGGUCGCAAGAUUAA
rnacentral:rRNA from 1 species